UAAAAAGUAAGAGCUUUUUCUUUCCCAGGGUGAAAGUGUCAGACUAGAGGGUAUAGCAUUAAAAUGAGAGGGACAAAGUUUUAAGGAGAUAUGCGGGGCAAGUUUUUUUUGAAACACAGAGGUUUGU